UACGGAGGGGGCUGGCGUUGUUCGGAAUUACUGGGCGUAAAGCGCACGUAGGCGGCUUUGUAAGUUAGAGGUGAAAGCCCGGAGCUCAACUCCGGAAUUGCCUUUAAGACUGCAUCGCUUGAAUCAUGGAGAGGUGAGUGGAAUUUACGGUGUAGCGGUGAAAUGCGUAGAUAUCGUAAGGAAGACCAGUGGCGAAGGCGGGUCUCUGGACAGUUCCUGACGCUGAGGCACGAAGGUCAGGGGAGCAAACGGG
rnacentral:rRNA from 1 species